UACGUAGGGCGCAAGCGUUGUCCGGAAUUAUUGGGCGUAAAGAGCUCGUAGGCGGUUUGUCGCGUCUGCUGUGAAAUCCCGAGGCUCAACCUCGGGCUUGCAGUGGGUACGGGCAGACUAGAGUGCGGUAGGGGAGACUGGAAUUCCUGGUGUAGCGGUGGAAUGCGCAGAUAUCAGGAGGAACACCGAUGGCGAAGGCAGGUCUCUGGGCCGCAACUGACG
rnacentral:rRNA from 1 species